rnacentral:rRNA from 1 species
GAUGAACGCUGGCGGCGUGCCUAAUGCAUGCAAGCCGAACGGCCUGAUUUAUCAGGCAGUGGCGGACGGGUGAGUAACGCGUAAGAACUUACCCUAAAGUGGGGACGAACCUCGAGAAAUACGGGGCGUAAUACCGCAUACGCUCCGCAAGGAGGAAAGCUACGGCGCUUUAGGAUGGGCUUGCGUCCGAUUAGCUAGUUGGUGAGGUAAUGGCUCACCAAGGCUUAGAUCGGUAGCUGGUCUGAGAGGAUGAUCAGCCACACUGGAAUUGAGAUACGGUCCAGACUCCUACGGGAGGCUG